rnacentral:lncRNA from 1 species
AUUAACUUAUCCUUUCUAUGGCAUGUCUGUUCUACAGUUUGACCCAUUUUCCAGUGUUUUUUCAGUAUUUUGCUUCAUCAGACAGAAUUAUUAUAUUUACAGUAUUCAGUUUGAUGUACUUGACUAAGAUGUGUAAUGCAAAUUUCUUCCUCUGCUCAAGUUUUCAGAUGAAUUUUGAUGACUACAGAUGCCUAAAAUAUUUUAAUAUGAUCUAAGUUACAAAUUUCCCUUAUCUACUUGAGAUUUAUUGUACUAAAUGGAAUCCAUUUUCUCAUCAUUGAGCAACUAUUUUCUUUCAAAGCUUAAAGUUGCAUAUUGUUUAU